rnacentral:rRNA from 1 species
AUUGAACGCUGGCGGAAUGCUUUACACAUGCAAGUCGAACGGCAGCACGGACUUCGGUCUGGUGGCGAGUGGCGAACGGGUGAGUAAUACAUCGGAACGUGCCCAGUCGUGGGGGAUAACGCAGCGAAAGCUGUGCUAAUACCGCAUACGAUCUGCGGAUGAAAGCGGGGGACCUUAGGGCCUCGCGCGAUUGGAGCGGCCGAUGUCAGAUUAGGUAGUUGGUGGGGUAAAGGCCCACCAAGCCAACGAUCUGUAGCUGGUCUGAGAGGACGACCAGCCACACUGGGACUGAGACACGGCCCAGACUCCUACGGGAGGCAGCAGUGGGGAAUUUUGGACAAUGGGCGCAAGCCUGAUCCAGCAAUGCCGCGUGCAGG